CAGUCGCCACGGUAAUACAGAGGGUGCGAGCGUUAAUCGGAUUUACUGGGCGUAAGCGUGCGCAGGCGGUUAUAUAAGACAGAUGUGAAAUCCCCGGGCUCAACCUGGGAACUGCAUUUGUGACUGUAUAGCUAGAGUACGGCAGAGGGGGAUGGAAUUCCGCGUGUAGCAGUGAAAUGCGUAGAUAUGCGGAGGAACACCGAUGGCGAAGGCAAUCCCCUGGGCCUGUACUGACGCUCAUGCACGAAAGCGUGGGGAGCAAACAGGAUUAGAUACCCCGGUAGUCCCUGUCUCUUAUACA
rnacentral:rRNA from 1 species